ACCACGUGGCUCAACAAGUCUUGAAAUGAUGAUUGGUUCAAGUAUGAUACUGGAAUUACAAACUGCUUCAUUUUCUCACCAACAUACACUGCAAGGUAGCCCUUUGCCACGUCCGCACCCUUGGAAGAUGCUUGGUUUGUAGUAAAUGAUGCAUUUCUGAUACCAGAUAAACGAAAACCCAUUGUUGCUUGAAUAUAUAUAGAGAUGAAAGAAUUCUUUGAAAUUGUUGUCUACAUAAAUAAUUGAAGGGGAAAGCUAUCAGAUAGGAAUCAUGGGACCAAUAGAGAGACAGGGGCAUAUGGUGUUGCCUUGUAGGACUUUCUCAAGGAUGAAUGUAAGAUGUCAUAGUGGAUAGUACGAGUCCCACCUUCUAAAGUGAGUUCAGUUCAAAUAAAAGUGACGUAUGAUCUAAACCUCUAAAAUAUAAUGGUGUCAGAUCUCCUCCUAUCCGUAGCCUUAUAUUCAAUAGUCAGAAAUUGCAUUCCAUCUAUAACAUACUUGAACAUUAGAUGUAUUGUUACCAAUUUUUGAUUAAUGACAACAAAAUCAGUUGAGAAGUAUUUUUGUUAAUCGAUUACAAUGUUCACUACUCUCUGAAAUUAGAACCGUAGAUAGAAGUAGAAGGUUCUUGCCUGAAAAAUAGGGUUUAUUGUUCUUUUUAAUCCACAGCACGACAUUCUGUCAGAAAAUGUGAUUUUACUAUAUAUAUAUAUAUAUAUAUUAUGUUCUGUUUGUUAAGUUUUUUCAGGUUGAUAUUAAUUAUAAACCUUGUUUUGUGGGAAAGUUAGUUGUAUUAUUAAUGGUUAGGUAAGAAUGAAUGGUAGCGUUUAUUCCAUGCUGAUUUACAUCUCUCUUGUUAAUUAGAGAGAAACCCUUUUGUAGCAUAUAAGCUACUGCACUCUAGAAUAUUGUAAGUAGGCUCUUUAUCUUCACAACCAAAGUUCUCUUCUCUGUUUUUUGCCCAGUUUUAAGUUCUGUACUCAAAAAAUUAAAAUUCAUGGCCUCAAGCAUAUUUAAAAUGUGUUGUCCCUUUGAAUAGCACAGGUAAUAGUGGACUUCUCCAUAUGGUAAAUUUUAUUUUAUCAGAAUGAGCUAUAUCAUUCAACUGUGUCACACGUGACUUGUAUCUAUAUUCUCCCCAUCUAUGAGCUCCACAAUUGCUUGAUCUCACCAUACAACAAUGCUGCAAUUAAAUAUGUUUUGCAUUGCCCUUUCCGAAUUCUUACAAUCUCACACUUUUGGAGAUGAAAAUAAAUUGAGAUACAUUUGAAAUAGGCAUGUUCCCCGGGUAACAUGUCAUUAUUCUUAUCAAUAUUUUAGUAAUGGUAAUAAAUUCAAUUUGUAACUAUUUUUUUUUAUCAUUCACACAGUUCAUUUGUCUCAGCAGUUGGACAGUACAACAACAUUAGAAGGUUGCUUACAGGAUAGAAAAACACUUCAUUGUUCUCUUGAAUUACACUACAUAAACAAAAUCAUAUGUGAGUUUUUUUAGUCUGCUGAAGAAUAUAGACAAUCAUUCACGUAACCACUUUAAUUUCAUGGGCAUUAUAUAGGGAAAAUUGCAAUAAACACUGCUAGUAAAUUUCAUUUUUAAGCACCCUUUUGGUUUUGUCCAACAUAAACUCUAAUGUUUUGAAUAUUAGUGCACCUUUGAAGACCAAGAAAAUGGAAACCCAUUUGCAUAUCAAAAGAAGCAACAGACUAAAGUCUAAAGGAGUUGCUAUUUCUAGAGUAAAAACAAAAAGAGGAUUGAAAAUACUUAUACUGCAUAAAGAUGGAAAUGUCAUGAACACAACUAAAAAUGUUGUGUACAAAGAAUUUUUUGAAACUCUUUGACAAAGAAGAGAUUAUAGGUAUGUAUUUUAUUAUUUUUGAUUCGAUUUUAACUUUCGUUUGUAUAAACAUAGAUUAACUUAUUUAUCUUUUUGCUUCUUCUUCAAUUGUUAUCUUUCAAAGCAUUGCAUGUUUUGGACUGGAGCAAAAUCAUUGUCUAAGAUGCAAGGCUUACAAGGAAGUUGGUGCUACAUCUCAUAUAAAACAUAAGAGAACAGAACAAAUAAAUUAAACACAACAACAAUGUUUGUGAAAGUACCAACAUAUCAGGUUUGAUUGGACUUAACUAAGUUGAAAUUGAAAUUUUUUACUAUGUAUAUGUUUUUGACUCAAACUUGACAAUGAUAAACUAUUCAAAUUGUUAUACAGAGGCAGUCGUUAAUUGAAUUGGAGUUUAGUGAGUCUUUUGUUUAUUCCCUAAUUCUUCUUAUAUCAAAGAUUUAUUUUUAUUCUGUUUAUAUCUUGCACUUUUGAAGCAUACAACCAUUUGA